rnacentral:rRNA from 1 species
CCUUARAGUUUGAUCCUGGCUCAKAACRAAYGCUGGCGGCKUGCUUAACACAUGCAAGUCGAACGUGAUUGARAGCUUGSUCUCAUGAAAGUGGCGCACGGGUGAGUAACACGUGGAUAAUCUGCCUGGCGAUUCGGGAUAACACUUCSAAAGGGGUGCUAAUACCGGAUAASCCCACGGUCUCUUCGGAGAGUGCGGGAAAAGGGGGCCUCUGUAUAUGCUCCUGUCGCUAGAUGAGUCCGCGGCCCAUUARCUAGUUGGUAGGGUAAUGGCCUACCAAGGCUACKAWGGGUAGCUGGUCUGASAGGAUGAUCARCCMCMCUGGAACUGASACACGGUCCAGACUCCUACGGRAGGCAGCAGUGGGGAAUUUUGCGCAAUGGGCSAAAGCCUGACGCAK